AAUAGAUACCCGGGUAGUCCACGCCGUAAACGAUGUGUGCUAGACGUCGGGAUGUUCCGCAUUCGGUGUCGCCGCUAACGCAUUAAGCACACCGCCUGGGGGAGUACGGCCGCAAGGUUAAAACUCAAAGGAAUUGACGGGGGGCCCGCACAAGCGGUGGAGCAUGUGGUUUAAUUCGACGCAACGCGCAGAACCUUACCAGCCCUUGACAUCCCGGUCGCGGGGACCAGAGACGGUCUCCUUCAGUUCGGCUGGACCGGAGACAGGUGCUGCAUGGCUGUCGUCAGCUCGUGUCGUGAGAUGUUGGGUUAAGUCCCGCAACGAGCGCAACCCUCAUCCUUAGUUGCCAUCAUUUGGUUGGGCACUCUAAGGAAACUGCCGGUGACAAGCCGGAGGAAGGCGGGGAUGACGUCAAGUCCUCAUGGCCCUUAUGGGCUGGGCUACACACGUGCUACAAUGGCGGUGACAAUGGGCGGCGAGCCUGCAAAGGUCAGCAAAUCCCAAAAAGCCGUCUCAGUUCGGAUUGUCCUCUG
rnacentral:rRNA from 1 species